AUGCUGCGUCGAAAUAAAUUGUUGUUGUUGUUCUUUCUCCAACUUUGUGGUUCUCUAAUCGAUGACGUCGGGGAUCUGUCGGCUCAGUCGUCUCAUCGGUCUAUGGUUCCGGUGAGCUCAGGUUCUGGUUGUUGGCACUUGUCAUUCUCGACGGCAGCAUGGCCGACCUCUAAAGAUGAAUUUGAUGGCUUGAAGUUGGGUCAGCGGAUGCAGGUUGGAGGCAGCGCUCCUCUUCCUCGAUUACAUCGGGUGAAGACUGCGGUGCCCAGAUCAGGUGCACAUGGGGAAGAUCCUCGGCCGACGUGCCACAACGACUCGAACUUGUCGCUUGUAAAGGAUCGUUUAAUCGGCUCGAAAAGCAGUAUGGUCUAUGAUGGUGCUCUUCCUGAUCUGGCUUUGAAGGAUGAUCCGCCCUGCCUCCAGCGGCUCUACGGCGACGGUGGUGACCGAUGGGUGGCAGUUCGGCAAGGUACAAGGGGAUCUGAUGUUCAGAAUAUGUAUUUUUCCUGUUACAGGUUCCUCUGUGUGUAA
rnacentral:rRNA from 1 species